rnacentral:tmRNA from 1 species
GGGGACGAAUAUGGUUUCGACUGCAAUGAUGUGUCUGCAACUGCAUGCCGAGCGUCCGUCGUCUCGUAAAUCGCGGCGGGUUAAAGUUAAACGCAAACAACGAAUUAGCUCUCGCGGCUUAACACCCACGGGCGUCGCUGAUGGAUCUGCUCCUCUGGGGCUUUCAGCGGCGUAAGAUACAGAGGAUAGCUCCCGCGCCCGUUCCCGACGCAGGGGCGAAACAAAAGGGGACCCGGUCCCGAGUACGGCGCUCCUUCCCGGAAUCCGGACUUGAAUCAAAUGAAGGGGACAAGCAUGUAGACGUUGCAGGUGUGUGUUGCAGGACGCGGGUUCGAAUCCCGCCGUCUCCA